rnacentral:sRNA from 1 species
CGUCACUCUCGCCCUGUAAGAGGCGGAAGAGGCCACGUGCUCUCUCGCCCGCUGGUGGGUGGAUGGAAACAAAGGGUACAGUGAACCCAGUGGCAUGUAUGUCAGCAGUGAGUAGGAGCAAUUCAGGCCGUGACAGGGAUGAACCUGGGUAGGAGCGAUUCGUGCUAUGACGGGGAUGAACCUUGAAUACAUUGUGAUAGGAAGAGCAGUCAGCCACCCGGAAACUUGUGCCUCCUGGAAUUUCAAGUGGAUUCAUUUUUAGAGUGACUCUUCUCAUCCACACUACAUGAAAUCUUCUAGCUGGUAAAACAAACAGACAAACAGACAAACAAACGUUCACAUUCUUCUCAAGAGCAGAGUCGAGUUUUAGGUAUCAACAAAGACAGCACCCGGGCCUUCCACACUGAGCAGGAAGACUUUAUUCCCGUCAUCCAUGUACUGUACAAGUAUGAAGUGCACACAGAGCUCUCUCCGACAGGU